rnacentral:rRNA from 1 species
GACGAACGCUGGCGGCGUGCUUAACACAUGCAAGUCGAACGGAAAGGCCCUGCUUGCAGGGUACUCGAGUGGCGAACGGGUGAGUAACACGUGGGUGAUCUGCCCUGCACUUCGGGAUAAGCCUGGGAAACUGGGUCUAAUACCGGAUAGGAGCCAUUUUUAGUGUGAUGGUUGGAAAGUUUUUUCGGUGUAGGAUGAGCCCGCGGCCUAUCAGCUUGUUGGUGGGGUAAUGGCCUACCAAGGCGGCGACGGGUAGCCGGCCUGAGAGGGUGGACGGCCACAUUGGGACUGAGAUACGGCCCAGACGCCUACGGGAGGCAGCAGUGGGGAAUAUUGCACAAUGGGCGCAAGCCUGAUGCAGCGACGCCGCGUGGGGGAUGACGGCCUUCGGGUUGUAAACUCCUUUCGCUAGGGACGAAGCUUUUUGUGACGGUACCUAGAUAAGAAGCACCGGCUAACUACGUG